CGCGCAGGCGGGCUAAUAAGUUGGAUGUGAGAGCCUACGGCUCAACCGUAGAACUGCAUCCAAAACUGUUAGUCUAGAGUGUGGGAGAGGAAGAUGGAAUUAGUUGUGUAGGGGUAAAAUCCGUAGAGAUAACUAGGAAUACCAAAAGCGAAGGCAAUCUUCUGGAACAUUACUGACGCUGAGGCGCGAAAGCGUGGGGAGCAAACA
rnacentral:rRNA from 1 species